rnacentral:lncRNA from 1 species
AUGGAAACUAGACUUUUGAUGGCGAACUCCAUGCAGUCUAUAGAGAAGACGAAAUCUAACGAGGGCCACUGCGGCUGCCGAGGUGGAGAACAUUCUCGUCAAAGGAAGAGGGGAAGGAAGAAGAAGUGAAUUAGAUGAGGAAACCGAGGCGCAGAGGUGAAGUGACUUAGAGUGCAGCAGGAGAUGAGUGGCUCAGCCCUGUUUGAAGCCAGGCAGCUCCGAGAGGCUGGAGGCAGGGCGGCGCAGCCACUCAGGAGCUGUGGGCGCCGGCUGCAGCCACACUCUGCGCUACUUGUUUCGUAAGGGUUCCCAUCUAGUCCUCGCCAGCAACCCGCAGGCUGC